CUUCUGGGCCUAAACUGUCCAGAAAAUUCUUGCUUUCAGAUCUUCAAGGAUCUUGUGGCCAAUAUCAUAGACAUUUUUCUAGACCUCAUUUUCCUUGAUCUCUCUGCAGAAGUUGAAACUCAAGACCUGGAAGAACUUCUAGGAGGUUCUGUAGACUCCACCAGGCUCCGGACGCGCAGGCUCCGCGGUCAUGGCCCACGGGCCCAGCCGCUCCGCGGCAUGUGGAAGGUUUCUUCUUAACAGGGGUGUAAUAAUUUCCAGCUGAGGGCCUGUGCGAUGGAGACCGAAGUCACCCCCAAGAAACACCCAUUUGCAGCAUUUUAAAACUGUUGGGCUUCCCUGGUGGCACAGUGGUUGAGAGUCCGCCUGCCAAUGCAGGGGACACGGGUUCGUGCCCCGGUCCGGGAAGAUCCCACAUGCCGCGGAGCGGCUGGGCCCGUGAGCCAUGGCCGCUGAGCCUGGGCGUCCGAAGCCUGUGCUCCGCAACGGGAGAGGCCACAACAGUGAGAGGCACGCGUACCACAAAAAAAAAAAAAAAAAAAAAGGCUAUGGAGGACCAGGAAAUCAGGAAGAAGAAGCACAACCAGACGGGAUAACUUCCCAUGGGCAUCAAAGCAAAAGAAGGAAGAGUCUGCUUACCAAUGACAACUAAUCUUCAUUCUAGAGUUCGAUAAUUAUUGGUUUUCUAGGUAGUGAUGAAUAUACCCCUCUUUUUCAUAUAUUUUACUCUCUCCUCACCAAUAUGAAGCUCACUUCUCAAAAUAAUUCAUAAUGUUUUAAAUACAUACAUUUAAACUAAAAAACAUUAAACAAUAUCUUUGAGGUAGAAAAAUGAACAAUUUAGAGACUCAGAAGUUAGUUGAAUCGACAUUCUGUUCCUGAAUGAAACCAAGGAACCUCAAUACAAGUAAU